AGUUUGCAAGUUAUACGUUAUAAAUGAUUCCCAUAAGUAUAAUUUAAGUGCACUGCAUGUAGUAAUAUUCUUAAUAUUCUCAGCAGCUACUUAUGUGUUGCUUGGUGUGACAUUAUAGGUAGAAUCUGGUAUUUUAAAUGAGGAAAGUGGGGAUGCAGGAGAAGAUUUGGAUGGAGAGAAUGAAGGAGGAGAAGGAAAUGCCCAAGAACAGCAGCUUUAUCCUUGGGAGGGGAGUGAUCGUGAUUAUGAAUAUGAGGAGGUAUAGCAUGCAUUUGCAUGCAAUUAAACUUAUACUUACAGUCAGUAUAAAAAAGAAAUGUUUUAGAGUGCUCUAAUAUUCUAUUUCCUGUUGAAGGUAUCUUGUUUAUCAAUCAAUUGAUACUACUGUUUGAUGUAAUGGUUUCUUGGUGUUGAGACUAUUUUUAAGCCUUCAUAUGAGAAUAAUAAUCUAUACUUCUUUGUGCGGUGGCAGCUCUUGAAAAUUUUCUUAAUGGGGGCAAUAUAUAUUAUACAGUACACACAGUAGAGACACUAUGCACAUAUACUGUACAAACAAAAAUAAAUAGAAAAUUAUGGUAGUUUUUUUUUCCUAAAUGAAUGCUAUUACAAUUCUUCUUGAUGUUUCAUUGUUUAAAACGUUUUAUGAUUUCUCACUUUUAAUACUAUCCGAUGUAUUUCUUUCUAUAUGUAACCUAAUAAUGUAACAAUCACUCAAUGGCUAAUUUCUUAUGUGACAGUAUUCAUAUUGAGAAAGUCUUUUUCAUUUGCAUGAAUGAAAGGAAGGAAAGAGAGAUUUUGAAAUUAUAAUGAUUUUGAAAUUAUAAUAGUUUUUGCAACAAGUGUGAAAAAAGAGGUAUAUGCAAUAGAAUAAAUGGGCAUAAUCUAGUGGUUAAUUCUAUCUUCUUUUGUGUUUUUAGCCCAAAUGAAAUAAAAAUUUUGACUUAAAUUUUAGCCCAAAUUAAUUUUUCACUUAAAUAGAUUGGCAACUUAAAAAAAUUAAAGUGACUGUAGUAGCAAUGUACAAUGUUAAGUGGGGGAAACUUGACAAAUUCACUUGGGUAAGAUUGAAAAUAACCUAACCACACAAAGGAUUGGUAAAUCUGCCCAUGUCUCUGUGCUUUUGCUUGUGCACAUACUUUGGAUAUCCUAAAUACAUGGAGACUUGGAAGAUCUGCCCUUCUUCGUGUGCUCUUGCUAGAGCACAUAUUUUGGAUGAAUGAUCUAGAUCUUCAUGGCUAUUUGGCACUUGCAAACUUUCGGAAGCUUAAAUUUAUGAUUUCACUUGCUAGCCAUUUGCCUUCGUUUGUGAGGUAGUUGGUGAGCAGCUAAAAAUUCUCUUGAUUAAUGUAAUGUUUUCCAUGUAUUUUCAAUCUGCAUAAUGAAUUAUUUGUUUCUUUAUUCUUGGAAUAUGUUUUUCAACUGCACGGCUAUGCCCUUAGAUGGUUGUUAUUGUAACUCUCACCUGUCAUUUUGUAUUUGUGAUGUCCACUUACUGAUAGGCUGAAAUGCCACUAGUUCUUGUUUGUUUCUAUGCAUAUUUAUUUUUGUGGAGUGACAGAUUUUUCUUUCCUGAUAUGAUGUCGGCAGCUCCUUG
rnacentral:misc_RNA from 1 species